CCGGUGUAUUCACGUCACAACCAAUUAGCCUGUGAGGAUACAGAGCGUUUCCUCGUGGACGGGGAUGGCGUUUGGCUGGAUGUGGAUGGGGAGCCAUGGGGCAAGGUCACGGAGCACGAGGCCAAGGACCAAAGGAACUUGACGUGCUACCAGUGCAGACAUUUUGGACACUGGGCCAAACACUGUGUGAACAUACCAAAGACUGCCAGGUUUGAUCCCCAACAAUCCUUAUGUGAUUCCUGGACAUUGCUUUCAGGGGAAUACUGAGGCCACACAGAACAUCUACUGAAACACUGCUGAGGACCCCGGAGACAAUGUGGGUACAGCAGACCCCAUGUUUUCUGCAACAGUGGAAGGAAAA